GCCCCAGAAACAGGGAGCAGCACAAACAUCCCAGACAUGUCUGAAGCGCUGCUAGACUCCAUUGCCCUCAUACAAACUUUCAGUACAUCCCUACCCGUUCCUCAGCUGCAUGGGAGGUUGAACACCUACAAGUCAUCCAGAAUGUUCUAAGCAUGUGCCGUGAGCAACUUGGCAGCUCUAAAGCGCGAGGAAGAAGGAACAGUUGCAAAGGUGAAGAGCAAUGAUAUGUAUGUGUUGGACCAAGAAAUAAAGCUAAGCUACGUGUCUAAUAGAAAGCCUCCCAUUAACUCUUCAGAAAUAAUUUUGGGGAAUUAGUCCUCCAAGAAAUCCUUACCAAAUGAACUCUACGAUGGAUCUUGAAGAAAUUUAAAAUCAGGUCAUAUGGCUCUAUGUUUGAUGGGAUGGAAAGGAAGAAGAAAUGCUUCCCCACCUGCACCAUGGCAACUUUCCUUCACAUUUCCUGAAGCAAACUGACAUGCUGAAAUCGGAAAAGAAACACGACUCUACUGCUGCUUUUUGUGCUAGGCACAUGGUUAAGAAUGCUAUUGUACAUUCAUGUCUAGAAGUGGCUUGCUGCACUGUACUUUGCCUCCACUGCUGAUUCAUCUGUCCUUGUCACUGUUCUGUGCAGAAGGAAAAUACAACUAGAUUGCCUCAGAAGCAUAAAGGAGUUUACUUCACAAACUGUAAAACAAGUUUACAUGGCUUUUUCAAUCUCAAAUUGGGAAAAGCAAACAAACAAACAAUGGAAAGAAAAGAUUUCACACAAGAUACUAGAAACAAUGCAAAUUUUUACCUAGGAAAAC